CUCACGCACUAAAUUCCCUAUCUGACUUAAGCAUCGAAGGGGCGACGAGCACACACCUCGUUGCCUUUGUUUCAGAUAUUCAAAGACCGUUCGUGUUCACUUGAGUUCGCCUAAGUUUGGAGUUUGAUCAUCAAGUUUGAGAUCUUUCAGGUACUAUUUUUUUUGGUAACAUCAUAUACUAAGUAGUAUAGAAGCUACGAAGACCAAAGGGGACCUUACCCUCCCCUAUUUUCAAAUUCGAGUGGGUUGUAGGUUUAUGAAAUUCUUCUUUCGCCAUCCUAUAAGAAGCAUGAUUAUGCCGAGUUUGAUCUUCCUGGAACAAGCUUACUUGUGGUGUUCUCAAGGUUAAUUUAAAAAAUAGUUGAAACAUAAUGAACACGAAAUAAAGUUACUAGUGUAAUUUCAAUGUUAUAUAAGAAAGUUACUGAUUUUUCUCGGGUUAUCACUCCAAUGCGAUCCAGAGUGAAAUGAUAGAAAUAAAUAGUAGGACUGGGAAAAUUCAGAAACCAAGUUUUGGUCCUAUUCAAACAACUUAAUCAAGCAUGCAAGAAAAGUUGGCUUAAUAGGGUUUGGUAUCCAAGCCUAUUCAUGAAAAGUGGUUUAAUGACUUUUGUUCUUUGCAGAGGCCAUAGCUCGAUCCGCACCUCCUAUUGAACCAGUUGUUGAGACCUCAAAAGCUGCUUAACCUCCAAAACAAAAGAAAACUUAUUCCUUGUCCCAUAUCAUUAAGGUACGUGGUUGCGUUGACUAUUCUUACUUCAUAG
rnacentral:lncRNA from 1 species